AAUACAAGAAGGUCAGUUAAAUUUGAAUUUUGGAUGAACAAUGAACUUUUAAGUAUAAGUAUGUCCCAUGCAAUAUUUGGGACAUACUUAUACUAAAAGAUUAUUCAUUGUUUAUCCAAAUUUCCGAUUCAACAGGGAGUCCUGGAUUUU
rnacentral:miRNA from 1 species